rnacentral:rRNA from 1 species
AUGUCUAAGUAUAAACACGAUUUGUACUGUGAAACUGCGAAUAGCUCAUUACAACAGUUACAAUUUAUUUGACAUUCGACCAUUACACGGAUAACCGUAGUAACUCUAGGGAUAAUACGUGAAACUCUCCCCCGGGAGAGAGUGCAUAUUAUUUAAAACCUCUAAAGGUUGAAACAAAGUAUUUUUCGGAUCGCGUGGGUUCUGCCAGCGACGUGUCAUUCAAGUUUCUGCCCUAUCAGCUCCGACGGUAGAAUAGAGGUUUACCGUGGCGACAACGGGUAACGGGGAACGGGGGUUCGACUCCGGAGAGGCAGCCUGAGAAACGGCUACCACAUCCACGGAAGGCAGCAGGUGCGCAAAUUACCCAAUUCUGACUCAGAGAGGUAGUGACAAGAAAUAACGAUAAUUGACCUUAUGGUUAAAAUCGGAAUGAGCAAAAUUUAAAAACAAUAGCGACAAUCAAGUGGAGGGCAAGCCUGGUGCCAGCAGCCGCGGUAAUACCAGCUCCACUAGUGUAUACUAAAGUUGUUGCUGUUAAAAAGCUCGUAGUUGGAUAUCAGCGAUGGCGGCGUGACCCGGCCAAGGCACUUGGCCGCGUGUCAUGCACUCUGUGCGUGUCGCCGUUGCUAAAUUCAGGACGGCGGUCUGCUCAUUAACUUGGGUCGGGCCGCUGUCUCCUGAUCCUUUACUUUGAGAAAAUUAGAGCGCUCAAAGCAGGCUUUCGCCUGGAUGCAUUAGCAUGGAAUAACAAUACAUGACUCAGGUCAACGCUUUCGGGCGUGUUUUGUUGGUUUGGGCUUGAGUAAUGAUUGAUAGAAACAUACGGGGGUGCUAGUAUCGCGGGGCUAGAGGUAAAAUUCUUUGAUUCCCGUGAGACUUCCAUAUGCGAAAGCAUUCACCAAGCGUGUUUUCUUUAAUCAAGAACCAAAGCUGGGCUAUCAAAGACGAUCAGAUACCGUCGUAGUCCCAGCCAUAAACGAUGUCGACUUAGAAUUGGGCAAUAUUACAGACUUCCUCAGCUCUUAUGAGAAAUCAAAGUUUUCGGACUCAGGGGGAAGUAUGCCCGCAAGAGUGAAACUUAAAGGAAUUGACGGAAGGGCACCACCAGAUGUGGAGCCUGCGGCUCAAUUUGACUCAACACGGGAAAACUUACCAGGUCCAGACAUAGCAAGGAUUGACAGACUGAAGGUCUUUCUUGAUUCUAUGAGUGGUGGUGCAUGGCCGUUCUUAGUUGGUGAAAUGAUUUGUCUGGUUAAUUCCGAUAACGAACGAGACCUCAGCCAUCUAACUAGCCGUCGCUAAUUUAUUAGCGUUUGCAACAAAGCUCGGCUUCUUAGAGGGACUGUCUGUGAACAGCAGAAGGAAGUGUGAGGCAAUAACAGGUCCGUGAUGCCCUUAGAUGAUCUGGGCUGCACGCGCGCUACAAUAAUGCAUGCAACGAGUCUAGCCUGGCCUGAAAAGGUUGGGUAAUCUUUAAAGUGCAUUCAAGUGGGGAUAGAAGAUUGCAAUUUUUCUUCUUGAACAAGGAAUAUCAAGUAAACGCGAGUCAUCAACUUGCAUUGGUUACGUCCCUGCCCUUUGUACACACCGCCCGUCGCUCCUACCGAUUGAAUAAUGAGGUGAACUGGGUGGAUGCGAACAGUUCAUUCUGUUGUAGAAGCUCCGUAAACCUUGCUAUUUAGAGGGAGGACAAGUCGUAACAAGGUUUCCGUAG